rnacentral:rRNA from 1 species
UACGUAGGGUGCAAGCGUUGUCCGGAAUUAUUGGGCGUAAAGAGCUUGUAGGCGGUUUGUCGCGUCUGCCGUGAAAUUUCGGGGCUCAACCCCGAACUUGCGGUGGGUACGGGCAGACUAGAGUGUGGUAGGGGAGACUGGAAUUCCUGGUGUAGCGGUGAAAUGCGCAGAUAUCAGGAGGAACACCGGUGGCGAAGGCGGGUCUCUGGGCCGAUACUGACGCUGAGGAGCGAAAGCGUGGGGAGCGAACAGG